rnacentral:rRNA from 1 species
UACGUAGGGGGCAAGCGUUGUCCGGAAUCAUUGGGCGUAAAGCGCGCGUAGGUGGCCCGGUAAGUCCGCUCUGAAAGUCACAGGCUCAACCUGUGAAAGCGGGUGGAUACUGCCGGGCUAGAGUCCGGAAGAGGCGAGUGGAAUUCCGUGGUGUAGCGGUGGAAUGCGCAGAUAUCAGGAGGAACACCAACGGCGAAGGCAGCUCGCUGGGACGGUACUGACACUGAGGCGCGAAAGCCAGGGGAGGCAAACGGG